GGAGGAAUAUUGGAAAAUGGACGAGAGUCAGAACCAGCCAAGGAGCGUGCAGGAUGACGGCCCUAGGGGGUGUAAACUGCUUUUGUUGGGGAAUAAGCGACAUUACGUGGAAUGUGUUGCAUGUACCAUUCGAAUAAGGACCGGAUAAUUCGGUGCCAGCAGCCGCGGUAAUACGGAAGGGCCAGGCGUUAUGCGGAUUUAUGGGGUUUAAAGGGAGUGUAGGCGGUUGGUUAAGCGGGUGGUGAAAUGUAGAUGCUCAACAUCUGACUUGCAGCGCGAACUGGUUGACUUUAGUACACACACUGUAGGCGGAAUUCAUGGUGUAGCGGUGAAAUGCUUAGAUAUCAUGAAGAACUCCGCUUGCGAAGGCACCUUACGGGAGUGUUACUGACGCUUACGCUCGCAGGUGCGGGUAUCGAACAGG
rnacentral:rRNA from 1 species